rnacentral:lncRNA from 1 species
UCAGAGAAAUGAGUUGGUGCCCUACAACCUUCUAAGGAGUCCCAAAAGAACACUGCAGUAAGGGAGGAGGUGUUGUAAUUGGGAGAAUACUCCAGCCAUAAGAUCUGCAAGCAUAGCAAAGGUCAGGCAUAAAGGAAUUUUCUUUUAUAGGGAAGAGUAAACAGGCAGGAAAGAACUAGAUUCAGGGGAGUGGGAUGAGACUGUUUUGGAUCUGUUGACCCUGAUAUGUCUGUCAAAAUGUCUGUGAGUCUAGCUGAUGUUCAUGACAUCUGAAAGAAGGCCACAUUUUGGUCUCUGAAGCCCCUUCCUAAGAUUGGGAGCAAAGUACCUGACUUAGUGUUUGGGUCCAGGAGGAUGGUGGGGGGCUCCCUGGGCAUGCCUCUGUUCUACUGUGGAGGAGGAGAUGCCAUGGGAAAGUAACAGCACCUAGGGUCCUGUUCAACAUGGACAUUAAGGAAAGGUCUGCCUGAACCCCUUCUGCAGUAGCUGGCUUCCAUUGGGUUUGUGGAAGAACUGAGAUUUUUUCCAAAUUCCCAAAAGAGGAGAAGUAAAGGUAGUUCUAAGUAGUUUAUUUUGUGGGCUGUGAGCCAAGUCUAAUCUUGUGGCUUUUGUUCCUUGUCCAGCACUGGCUUCUCUGGACUUUGCACACCUCCAGGAGAAGAACCCAGAAAAUUGAUCAGUUCUAAAAAACCAUGCCCCACGUGAGUUGCUGUUUCUUUCCUUGUUGAAGUACAAUCAUUUUGUUGUGUAAUGUGAACACCAGAUUUAUCCCAGAAUUUCCUGCCUUGUUUGGUUCCUUAAGGGAACUGCUUCCAAACGUCUCCCAUUCUAGCGAGUAAUAGUAGCAAAGAGCCCAAUUCUUCUCAAUGCUUUUCCCCUCUCCAAACAGUUUUCAGAUAUUCAUUCAGCAGAUAAUUCUACAUUGUCCACAGGCAUAGUCUUCUGCCCAGAACUCUGAGGGAACAGAAAUACCUCCUUUUAAG